rnacentral:rRNA from 1 species
GAUGAACGCUAGCGGCAGGCUUAAUACAUGCAAGUCGAGGGACAGCACAGGUAGCAAUACUGGGUGGUAACCGGCAAACGGGUGCGGAACACGUACACAACCUUCCUUUAAGUGGGGGAUAGCCCAGAGAAAUUUGGAUUAAUACCCCGUAAUAUAGUUGAAUGGCAUCAUUUGAUUAUUAUAGCUACGGCGCUUAAUGAUGGGUGUGCGGCUGAUUAGAUAGUUGGCGGGAUAACGGCCCACCAAGUCUGCGAUCAGUAGCUGAUGUGAGGUGAUGAUCAGCCACACGGACACUGAGACACGGGCCCGACUCCUACGGGAGGCAGCAGUAAGGAAUAUUGGUCAAUGGACGAAAGUCUGAACCAGCCAUGCCGCGUGAAGGAUUAAGGUCCUCUGGAUUGUAACCUUCUUUUAUUUGGGACGAAAAAGGGCCUUUCUAGGUCAACUGACGGUACCAGAUGAAUAAGCACCGGCUAACUCCGUGCCAGCAGCCGCCGUAAGAC